UGGAGCAUGUGGUUUAAUUCGAAGCAACGCGAAGAACCUUACCAGGCCUUGACAUGCAGAGAACUUUCCAGAGAUGGAUUGGUGCCUUCGGGAACUCUGACACAGGUGCUGCAUGGCUGUCGUCAGCUCGUGUCGUGAGAUGUUGGGUUAAGUCCCGCAACGAGCGCAACCCUUGCCAUUAGUUGCUACGAAAGGGCACUCUAAUGGGACUGCCGGUGACAAACCGGAGGAAGGUGGGGAUGACGUCAAGUCCUCAUGGCCCUUAUAGGUGGGGCUACACACGUCAUACAAUGGCCGGUACAGAGGGUAGCCAACCCGCGAGGGGGAGCCAAUCCCACAAAGCCGGUCGUAGUCCGGAUCGCAGUCUGCAACUCGACUGCGUGAAGUCGGAAUCGCUAGUAAUCGCGGAUCAGCAUGUCGCGGUGAAUACGUUCCCGGGUCUU
rnacentral:rRNA from 1 species